AACGAACGCUGGCGGCAUGCCUAACACAUGCAAGUCGAACGAGACCUUCGGGUCUAGUGGCGCACGGGUGCGUAACGCGGGGGAACCUGCCCUUAGGUUCGGAAUAACUCCCCGAAAGGGGGGCUAAUACCGGAUAAUGUCUUCGGACCAAAGAUUUAUAGCCGUUGGAUGGGCCCGCGUUGGGUUAGCUUCUUGGUAGGGUAAAAGCCUACCAAGGCGCCGAUCCAUAGCUGGUCUGAGAGGAUGCCCAGACACACUGGGCCUGCGACACGGCCCAGACACGUACGGCUGGCUGCAGUCGCGACUCUUCGGCAAUGCGCGCAGGCUUGACCGAGCGAUGCCGCGUGCGGGAUGAAGUCCCUCGGGUUGUAAAACGCUGUCGUAGGGGACUGACGGUCGGUGGGUUCUCCCAUCGAUUUGAAUGAUCCUAGGAGGAAGGCCGGGCUAAGUUCGUG
rnacentral:rRNA from 1 species